CACCAAACGAAUGACUCCAAACUCAAACUGGCAAUUUAUAUUAGCUUAUAAAUGCAAAUCCAGACAAAACAUACAAACUCGCAGAGAGACUAAGAAACCCAACCGAUGACUAGUGGUAGGACAAUCCAACGAGAAAUCAUUGAGCGACACAAAACACAGAAAUGCAGGCCCAAUGUUCCCCUCUUAUUUCAAGUCCGGGCAGAGACCAAUAAUACCACCAACCUUAUUCCAUGAAGGAAGAACUGACACUGUAAAACUGUAAACACACCCAGUAAAGAACUCUUAAGUAGUCACUCAUCUUCUGAUUCAGACUCGGCAUUCUGAAGCCAUUCAACAAAAGGCUUGACAUUCUUCCAGACUGGUGAGCUUUUGUUAGCACCGCUUAAACCCUUCUGGUACCACUCUAGGAUAAACUCCUCUUCCAGCACAUCAUAGUCAUACAGUACUUUAACAGCCAAUGGUACCUCUUUAACUGCCUCAGGGCUUGCGUUACCACAGAAAAACUCAAGGGCAUGCAACAGAAGCAUCUGUGAUCCCUCCUCUUGAGUUGCUGCUGCCAGGUAGUUCCUUUUUUUAGUCACCUCCUUGGCAAACCCUUUUUCAACACCUCCAAAGAGAGCAGCAAACAGCGCAUUAAUGACUUCUUGAGGUGUCCCAGAGAGAGAACUCAAGAACGACUUCAGCUGGCUUGCAGGACCACCCUUUUUCAGAUAUCCAUUUAUUUCAUUAACAAGGCCUUCUAGGGGGUCAUUGCUCUUAGAGCCAUUCUGGUGAGCCUUAACCUCUCGUUCUGGAGACUUUUUUGCUGACUUUGCCUUGUCUUCAUUUGUGGAUAGCAUUACCAUAUCUGCAGUAACAGCACUCAAUUGCUCUUGGAUGCGUUGUUUAGCUGCCUCCAAAGAAGUAUCUGUUUGCCACUGGAUAUCAUCAUCACCGUCAUCUUCAUCAUCAGCAAUCAAUUGGUCAUUUUCAUCAGCCUGGCUGUGAGCUGGCGAGUGAUCCUCAUCUGAGCCAUUGCCUUUCUUCUUUGAUGACGUACCUUUAGCACCAUCCCUAGAACUACCAGAGGUGCCUUUCUUCUUUGUUGUCUCCUUUUUGUUCUUCUUCUGCUCCUCAUCGGCAGCCUCACCCUCCUUGAGCCGUUCCUUCUCAGCCCUCCUCAUUGCUUUCUUGUCUUUAGAUCCCUUUUUUGGCUCAGGUGGGUUCUUGAGAAUAAAUGUUGUAAGCUUAUCCCUCAUAUCAACAUCAGAAACAAAUCCACAGGCAGCACACUUCAAGGUAAUCAUUUGUGUCUUGGUUAUAACUACCUCAGUUUCAGGGUUCCCACAGCCAUAGCAUUGAACAUACUUCUUGAUGAAGUUUUCAAGCAGCCCAGCAAGUUUUGCAGUGUCAUGGGCUCCAUUCACAAGUGAAGUUCCGGUCCUCUCAUCAAACUUGGAUUGGGCUCCAAGCUCAUUACCAAAGUACUUCGUCGUGUAGGAAGCAGGUCUAGCCAAGGCCUUAGCAAUCUCAACCAUGUUAACAACGUUAGUUUUGAUUCCAUUUCCCCUACCUUCAAUCUUGGUUAUCAUUUUUGGCAUCUUAUACCUGUAAAAGGCAUCAUCACUGUUGGAAGCACCAAUAUUUUGCAAUGCCAUCUUGUUGGUACUGAUGGAGAGACCAGUAUCACGUUAAUCAGAAGUGACAAAAAUCAGCAGCAGUAUGCUCUCUAAUAAUAGAAAAUUCUCCUUUAGCAGGCACGUUCCUAGCAGAAGGGAAAGGACGCAUAAACUGGCAACCUAUAUAGUCUGUGCAAUGGCCCUCAAAAAACCCAAGAUGCAUGCAGCCAACCUUAGUUGCAGAACUUCUGAUCUUUUUUCUAGACGUAGGACAGUACUCUCCAAGUAAUCCAAUUGAUGACAAAAAGAGAGAGGCCCGCUCAGACAUAAAAAAAGCUUCAAACUUGACGAACUCCACUUUUGAUGAACUGCAGAUGAAGCAGACAAAACUGCCAACUUCCUUAUAAUGAAGAAAAUAGAGGGGCUAGAGAUGGAUGGGUCUCUAUUGUAAACGUCCGCGUGAGAGAUUGUGGGAUGAAUUGGGGGAGAGCAAGGCUUUUAUAUACGCCAAGGAGGUAGAGAGAGAGUGUAGGUUUCUAGGGCAAACUCAGCCUCCU
rnacentral:misc_RNA from 1 species